rnacentral:lncRNA from 1 species
GAACAACAGUUCCACAAGCAUGAGCACACUUGAAUUCAGGUGAGAGUGUGACCACUCCCAUUCCUGUCACGUAGAAAGAAGAAAACUCCCGUUUCGUACAGAAAUUCCAUGAGAAGCAAACUGGCGCCACGUCGUAUUAUUUGUAUUCUUCGUUCUACGAAUCAACAAAACCAGAUCACGACUCGGACACGAUUCACAUGGAGCACCUAUCUCACGCUUUUUCGACGUGGUAGCCAGGUUGCCUCUCUUCCUCAUCACUUAUUUAAGACGCCCGUCUGGGUUAAAAAAUCGUGACCGAACAAUGACCGGCGGUAUGUAAGGCCUUCCACAGCGUAGCCGGUGCCAAAUACAUCAAAAGGCAGCCACCUCAUCACCGGUGCCCAAAAUUGCUUUUCAGGCAUCGAUCUCACAACGUAGGGCUUCGGCAGGAAAAAGAUUUUGGGACCCAUAUGAUAAACAAGUACACCACGCUGCUGUGUAUUGAGCAAAGAGAGAAGACAUUUGCUGUUCAAAGUUGAGAGUUAAUAGUAUUUUAUUGGCUGGAGGAAUUGGGCAUCGUGUUCUUACUUGCUCCGAUGCCAUGAAAAUUUUGUUGGGGCACCGGCCUCACAACAUGAGGGCACCGGCUAUCGGAGCCAGAAGUUAAUUUGGCACCUCUUUUGGCCUACAUAAUGGAAGGUCUAAGAGGUGGGUUUGAGAGAUCGGUUGUAGAUGCUCUUAAUAAGCUAGUACUAGAAGAAGAACAUGUAUAGGGGAGGAAGGGGACAUAAGUGAAUCCCGAACGGAAGCACGUACCUGCGGGUGAUGGCCGAGUCGAGAAACACGGUCGACGUUCGUGAUCGAGUUGGCGCCGUGCCGGAGCUAAUUCAAGGGAAUGCCGCCGCCUUCCAACCGGAGACGAGACUGUAUUAUGUGGCUGACAACCUGCGUAGCUUUCAAACAUGGUGGCUCCUUUUGGAAAAGGCUCGGAGUGGAGACCCCAACCGUGUCACUCGUGUCAUACAUAUGCACCUUACAAAGGGCUGCAAGCUUUACUACACAGAUGUGUUGGGUGUACAUUUGGUUUUAACAAAUUUGAGACCUUAUCUUUUUUUGUUGGGUUUGCAGCUUUUAUGUCAUUUUAAAUACAUAUGUGUAUGCUGUCAAUACACUAUAGAUUAACAUACACUAGUGUCAAAAACGCUUUUAUAUUAUAAAACGGAGGGAGUAGUCUGAUUUUCUCAACACGUAAUUUUUUUUAAACGGAGGCAAAAGAUUUGGCUCAUUCAUUAAUUAAGCAGAAAAGAACUGCCCAGUUAAUUAAUGAAAAACCAGGCGAAAAUCAUCACAAACUACUGAGUGACACCAAUGAAAGACCUACACGCGCCACUCACAAGAGGGCCUCGUCAAGACUGCACGUCGACAUCAUCGCCAUCACUUCUCCCCUAGAGGCAUCAUUGCCAUCUCAAACUAUGAGAAACGACUCCAACUUCACCUCAAGAGGGCCUCGUCAAGACCGCACCUCGAGCGUCAUCACCAUCACUUCUCCCCUAGAGGUGUCAUCGCCAUCCCAAACUCUGAAAAACAACUCUGACUUCGCCAAAGGCGAUCAUCAAACCAACCCACCCUGAAUAGGCCGUGCGGAAUCACAUGAAGAUCCACAUCGGACCUCAGCCACUACAACAAGAAAGCACAGCUCUAACACCAACAGAGAGCUACGAAUGAACCAAGCAGCUGUGAAGUCGAAGCUACAGUGGCAGGGCCCGGUGGCAUAUGCUGACGAGUAGGUGGUCCGUUCGGUGAUCUUCCUCAACACGUAGUAUGACUUCAGUGCACACGACACAGUAUAUGCCCCCAUGGAGACCGACAACAGAACAACAGUUCCACAAGCAUGAGCACACUUGAAUUCAGGUGAGAGUGUGACCACUCCCAUUCCUGUCACGUAGAAAGAAGAAAACUCCCGUUUCGUACAGAAAUUCCAUGAGAAGCAAAAUGGCGUCACGUCGUAUUAUUUGUAUUCUUCGUUCUACGAAUCAGCAAAACCAGAUCACGACUCGGACACGAUUCACAUGGAGCACCUAUCUCACGCUUUUUCGACGCUGUAGCCAGGCUGCCUCUCUUCCUCAUCACUUAUUUAAGACGCCUGUCUGGGUUAAAAAAUCGUGACCGAACAAUGACCGGCGGUAUGUAAGGCCUUCCACAGCGUAGCCGGUGCCAAAUACAUCAAAAGGCAGCCACCUCAUCACCGGUGCCCAAAAUUGCUUUUCAGGCAUCGAUCUCACAACGUAGGGCUUCGGCAGGAAAAAGAUUUUGGGACCCAUAUGAUAAACAAGUACACCACGCUGCUGUGUAUUGAGCAAAGAGAGAGAAGACAUUCGCUGUUCAAAGUUGAGAGUUAAUAGUAUUUUAUUGGCUGGAGGAAUUGGGCAUCGUGUUCUUACUUGCUCCGAUGCCAUGAAAAUUUUGUUGGGGCACCGGCCUCACAACGUGAGGGCACCGGCUAUCGGAGCCAGAAGUUAAUUUGGCACCUCUUUUGGCCUACAUAAUGGAAGGUCUAAGAGGUGGGUUUGAGAGAUCGGUUGUAGAUGCUCUUAAUAAGCUAGUACUAGAAGAAGAACAUGUAUAGGGGAGGAAGGGGACAUAAGUGAAUCCCGAACGAAAGCACGUACCUGCGGGUGAUGGCCGAGUCAAGAAACACGGUCGACGUUCGUGAUCGAGUUGGCGCCGUGCCGGAGCUAAUUCAAGGGAAUGCCGCCGCCUUCCAACCGGAGACGAGACUGUAUUAUGUGGCUGACAACCUGCGCAGCUUUCAAACAUGGUGGCUCCUUUUGGAAAAGGCUCGGAGUGGAGACCCCAACCGUGUCACUCGUGUCAUACAUAUGCACCUUACAAAGGGCUGCGAGCUUUACUACACAGAUGUGUUGGGUGUUCAUUUGGUUUUAACAAAUUUGAGACCUUAUCUUUUUUUUGUUGGGUUUGCAGCUUUUAUGUCAUUUUAAAUACAUAUGUGUAUGCUGUCAAUACACUAUAGAUUAACAUACACUAGUGUCAAAAACGCUUUUAUAUUAUAAAACGGAGGGAGUAGUCUGAUUUUCUCAACACGUAAGGGCUUCUUUGAUUCAAAGGAAUUGCAUAGGAUUUUUGGAGGAUUUGAAUCCUUAGGAAUUUUUCCUGUGAUGCUCGUUUGAUUCGUAGGAUUGGCAUCCUUAGGAAUUUUUCCAUAGGAUCCAUUUGUACUACAUUUUGGAGGAAAAUUUGCAUCCACUGAAACCUCUUUGUAGGAUUCCUUUGUUUUUCCUGCGCUAUCAAACAUUCUUUGAGAUCCUGUAGGAUACUAUGGGACAUGUCAUCCUAUUCCUGCAUUUUUCCUAUUCCUUCAUUUUGACAAUCCUGCGAAUCAAAGAGGCCCUAAAUUUUUUUUUAAACGGAGGCAAAAGAUUUGGCUCAUUCAUUAAUUAAGCAGAAAAGAACUGCCCAGUUAAUUAAUGAAAAACCAGGCGAAAAUCAUCACAAACUACUGAGUGACACCAAUGAAAGACCUACACGCGCCACUCACAAGAGGGCCUCGUCAAGACUGCACGUCGACAUCAUCGCCAUCACUUCUCCCCUAGAGGCAUCAUUGCCAUCCCAAACUAUGAGAAACGACUCCAACUUCACCUCAAGAGGGCCUCGUCAAGACCGCACCUCGAGCGUCAUCACCAUCAUUUCUCCCCUAGAGGUGUCAUCGCCAUCCCAAACUCUGAAAAACAACUCUGACUUCGCCAAAGGCGAUCAUCAAACCAACCCACCCUGAAUAGGCCGUGCGGAAUCACAUGAAGAUCCACAUCGGACCUCAGCCACUACAACAAGAAAGCACAGCUCUAACACCAACAGAGAGCUACGAAUGAACCAAGCAGCUGUGAAGUCGAAGCUACAGUGGCAGGGCCCGGUGGCAUAUGCUGACGAGUAGGUGGUCCGUUCGGUGAUCUUCCUCAACACGUAGUAUGACUUCAGUGCACACGACACAGUAUAUGCCCCCCUGGAGACCGACAACAGAACAACAGUUCCACAAGCAUGAGCACACUUGAAUUCAGGUGAGAGUGUGACCACUCCCAUUCCUGUCACGUAGAAAGAAGAAAACUCCCGUUUCGUACAGAAAUUCCAUGAGAAGCAAAAUGGCGCCACGUCGUAUUAUUUGUAUUCUUUGUUCUACGAAUCAGCAAAACCAGAUCACGACUCGGACACGAUUCACAUGGAGCACCUAUCUCACGCUUUUUCGACGCGGUAGCCAGGCUGCCUCUCUUCCUCAUCACUUAUUUAAGACGCC